UGCCCCAUGGCUGAGUUGGUUACAGCGUCCGACUGUUACCGUAUUAGGAGGUUUAUUCCCACGGUUGGCAUCGGAAGGUCGAGAGUUCGAGCCUCUCUGGGGCAG
rfam:Fibroporia radiculosa TFFH 294 genomic supercontigs, scaffold608